rnacentral:rRNA from 1 species
AGCAUGUGGUUUAAUUCGAUGCAACGCGAAGAACCUUACCUACUCUUGACAUCCAGAGAAUUCGCUAGAGAUAGCUUAGUGCCUUCGGGAACUCUGAGACAGGUGCUGCAUGGCUGUCGUCAGCUCGUGUUGUGAAAUGUUGGGUUAAGUCCCGCAACGAGCGCAACCCUUAUCCUUUGUUGCCAGCGAGUAAUGUCGGGAACUCAAAGGAGACUGCCGGUGAUAAACCGGAGGAAGGUGGGGAUGACGUCAAGUCAUCAUGGCCCUUACGAGUAGGGCUACACACGUGCUACAAUGGCAUAUACAAAGAGAAGCGAACUCGCGAGAGCAAGCGGACCUCAUAAAGUAUGUCGUAGUCCGGAUUGGAGUCUGCAACUCGACUCCAUGAAGUCGGAAUCGCUAGUAAUCGUAGAUCAGAACGCUACGGUGAAUACGUUCUCGGGGUUU